rnacentral:sRNA from 1 species
UUGAAGAGAUUCUAGCUGAAGACGUGGA